UCUGUGCUUCUCAAAGCAUGACCUUGCCUCCUGGCUGGCUUUAAAGCUGUUCAUUUUUUUCCCCUUCUUUUGAAAUCCCAUAUCAAGACUGACUCCAUGAGAGCUACUGACCAAAUAAUGAUAAGUUGAGGAGUGCUGAGAACACUGAUUUUAGCUUUAGCAAAUAUAUGCACUGUGUGUAAAACAGAAGAUGUUCCCAAAGUAACUCUUAACUGCUCCUGUAAUUCUGAGCUGGACCCCUACAGACAUGUGUACCUUUCCAUGUGUGGGAAGUGCUGCAGAAAUAAAGCAAGUAUUUUUGAGUCAGACUGGAGUUUAUUAUAUGUUGUAUCAGAACUCAUAGAAAAGAAAGAACCUUGACUCUUCUUAUGGAGGAAGUUAUCAGAUUAUAUACAUAGCAGAGUAUAGCCAAACCACAAGUCACUUAUCAAAGGCUUGGUUUAUAAGCAGAUCUAAGCAGAGCAAAAUUUUCUAAGUCAUGAAUCACAAAAGAAAAAAUUGUUCUAUCAUCUUUCCGCAGUGCAUGAGCUCAGAGAAAUAUCUGUGAGCAUUUGAUUCAACGUCCUGUAUUCUCUCUUUGCAGGAAGUGAGAAUGUAGCCCAAAUCCUUUACAUGAGAGUCUCUAAUCUAUUCUGUUUAUAUACAGGAAGAAUGGAUUCAGCUGAAGUAUCUGUGUUAAACAGCAGGUGCAAACAUCUGGAGAAGAGGAGGCUCAGGGGAGACAUUAUCACCCUCAACAACGCCUUAAAAGAAGUUUGAAGUAAGUUGGCGAUUGGCUUCUUCUCCCUCUUAAUAGCAAUAGGAUGAGAAGUAAUGGCCUAAUGUUGCACCAGGAAAUGUUCAGGUUGGAUAUUAAGAAAAAUUUCUUCUCAGAAAGAGUGCUGAGGCACUGGAACAGGCUGCCCAGGGAGGUGGUGGAGUCACCAUCCUAGUGGUAUUCAAGAAUUGUGUAAAUGUGGCACUGAGGGAUAUAGGAUAGUGGGCAUGACAGGAAUGAGUUGGCAGUUGGACAGGAUGUUCUUGGUGGUCUUUUCCAACCUUAAUGGUUUUCUGAUUCUAUGAACAGUUUGGGACAGGGGAACAUAAGCAAGGCUUCACAAGAAUGCUUUGUGGCUCUUAUAUAAGCAUUGGAUCACUGAAUGUGGACUUGUGAAAGGGAUGCAAUUUUGCAGCAAUUUCACAAGUAUGAACUGAAACACAGUAGCUAAGAUAUGAUUGCAGGUGAUUAGAAGAGAGCCAAUGUCAUUAAGAACGUUAAUAAACUGAUGACAGAGUAUCUAAUAUCA
rnacentral:lncRNA from 1 species